CGUAGUGUAGCGCAGCCUGGUAGCGCACCUCGUUCGGGACGAGGGGGUCGCAGGUUCAAAUCCUGCCACUCCGACCA
rnacentral:tRNA from 1 species